rnacentral:ncRNA from 1 species
AUAACUGUUAUUGCGAUAGGUGGAAUGAGAGGGUAACGCCUUGAAACGCCUGCUCAAAGAAACGCCAUGCAAAAGGGAGAUAAUGCCUCUGAUGUAUGAAGUGCGUUAAGAUGUCCAGUGUCCGCCCUAACAAGUAAUGUUGAGGAAAACCGAACUAGAGGUAGUCGAGCGGUAUAGGGCUAGAGUCUAUAAA